AUUGAACGCUGGCGGCAGGCCUAACACAUGCAAGUCGAACGAGUGGCGGACGGGUGAGUCAUGUCUGGGAAACUGCCCGAUGGAGGGGGAUAACUACUGGAAACGGUAGCUAAUACCGCAUACCAUCGGAUGUGCCCAGAUGGGAUUAGCUAGUAGGUGGGGUAAAGGCUCACCUAGGCGACGAUCCCGAGCUGGUCUGAGAGGAUGAACAGCCACACUGGAACUGAGACACGGUCCAGACUCCUACGGGAGGCAGCAGUGGGGAAUAUUGCACAAUGGGCGAAAGCCUGAUGCAGCCAUGCCGCGUGUAUGAAGAAGGCCGUCGGGUUGUAAAGCACUUUCAGCGGGGAGGCGUUACCCGCAGAAGAAGCACCGGCUAACUCCGUGCCAGCAGCCGCGGUAAUUC
rnacentral:rRNA from 1 species